CAGCUUAGAAAAGAUUUGUCUUAAUUCAUGAGAUGAAUUUAAGACAACACCUGCUAAUUCCUGUCACCUGCCAUUUUUAUUUUAGAACAUUGGUCAAACGUUGAUCCAUGGACCUUAGACUGAAGGCCACUUGGCAAGAGGUCAUUGGAGAUUUUUUAUGGAGUGUCCACCUACUAAAUUGGGCCUCAAAGUGGGUUCCAUAUU
rnacentral:lncRNA from 1 species